AUCAAACGCUGGCGGCAGGCCUAACACAUGCAAGUCGAGCGAGCGGCGGACGGGUGAGUAAUGUAUGGGGACUGCCCGAUAGAGGGGGAUAACUACUGGAAACGGUAGCUAAUACCGCAUACUAUCGGAUAACCCAUAUGGGAUUGGCUAGUAGUUGAGGUAAUGGCUAACCUAGGCGACGAUCCCUAGCUGGUCUGAGAGGAUGAUCAGCCACACUGGGACUGAGAAACGGACCAGACUCCGACGGAGGCAGCAGUGGGGAAUAUUGCACAAUGGGCGAAAGCCUGAUGCAGCCAUGCCGCGUGUAUGAAGAAGGCCCUAGGUUUUUAAGGUACUUUCAGUCGGGAGGCGUUACCGACAGAAGAAGCACCGGCUAACUCCGUGCCAGCAGCCGCGGUAAUAC
rnacentral:rRNA from 1 species